rnacentral:rRNA from 1 species
UGGGGAAUAUUGCACAAUGGGCGCAAGCCUGAUGCAGCCAUGCCGCGUGUGUGAAGAAGGCCUUCGGGUUGUAAAGCACUUUCAGCGAGGAGGAAGGUGGUGAGCUUAAUACGCUCAUCAAUUGACGUUACUCGCAGAAGAAGCACCGGCUAACUCCGUGCCAGCAGCCGCGGUAAUACGGAGGGUGCAAGCGUUAAUCGGAAUUACUGGGCGUAAAGCGCACGCAGGCGGUUUGUUAAGUCAGAUGUGAAAUCCCCGGGCUCAACCUGGGAACUGCAUUUGAAACUGGCAAGCUAGAGUCUCGUAGAGGGGGGUAGAAUUCCAGGUGUAGCGGUGAAAUGCGUAGAGAUCUGGAGGAAUACCGGUGGCGAAGGCGGCCCCCCUGGACGAAGACUGACGCUCAGGUGCGAAAAGGCGUGGGGG